rnacentral:piRNA from 1 species
UGAGCCCCUGUGUCUACCAAGAAUUGAGUGG